rnacentral:rRNA from 1 species
AGGUUGACCUCGGAUCAGGUAGGGAUACCCGCUGAACUUAAGCAUAUCAAUAAGCGGAGGAAAAGAAACCAACAGGGAUUGCCUCAGUAACGGCGAGUGAAGCGGCAAGAGCUCAAAUUUGAAAUCUGGCCCCCUCGGGGUCCGAGUUGUAAUUUGCAGAGGAUGCUUCGGGUGCGGCCCCCGUCUAAGUGCCCUGGAACGGGCCGUCAUAGAGGGUGAGAAUCCCGUCUGGGACGGGGUGUCCGCGUCCGUGUGAAGCUCCUUCGACGAGUCGAGUUGUUUGGGAAUGCAGCUCUAAAUGGGUGGUAAAUUUCAUCUAAAGCUAAAUACUGGCCGGAGACCGAUAGCGCACAAGUAGAGUGAUCGAAAGAUGAAAAGCACUUUGAAAAGAGAGUUAAAAAGCACGUGAAAUUGUUGAAAGGGAAGCGCUUGCGACCAGACUCGCCCGCGGGGUUCAGCCGGCAUUCGUGCCGGUGUACUUCCCCGUGGGCGGGCCAGCGUCGGUUUGGGCGGCCGGUCAAAGGCCCCCGGAAUGUAGCACCCUUCGGGGUGCCUUAUAGCCGGGGGUGCAAUGCGGCCAGCCUGGACCGAGGAACGCGCUUCGGCACGGACGC